rnacentral:rRNA from 1 species
GAUGAACGCUGGCGGCGUGCCUAAUACAUGCAAGUCGAGCGAACAGAUGAGGAGCUUGCUCCUCUGACGUUAGCGGCGGACGGGUGAGUAACACGUGGAUAACCUACCUAUAAGACUGGGAUAACUUCGGGAAACCGGAGCUAAUACCGGAUAAUAUAUUGAACCGCAUGGUUCAAUAGUGAAAGGCGGUUUUGCUGUCACUUAUAGAUGGAUCCGCGCCGCAUUAGCUAGUUGGUAAAGUAACGGCUUACCAAGGCAACGAUGCGUAGCCGACCUGAGAGGGUGAUCGGCCACACUGGAACUGAGACACGGUCCAGACUCCUACGGGAGGCAGCAGUAGGGAAUCUUCCGCAAUGGGCGAAAGCCUGACGGAGCAACGCCGCGUGAGUGAUGAAGGUCUUCGGAUCGUAAAACUCUGUUAUUAGGGAAGAACAAAUGUGUAAGUAACUAUGCACGUCUUGACGGUACCUAAUCAGAAAGCCACGGCUAACUACGUG